UACGGAGGGGGCUAGCGUUGUUCGGAAUUACUGGGCGUAAAGCGCACGUAGGCGGCUUUGUAAGUUAGAGGUGAAAGCCCAGGGCUCAACCCUGGAAUUGCCUUUAAGACUGCAUCGCUUGAACAUCGGAGAGGUAAGUGGAAUUCCGAGUGUAGAGGUGCAAUUCGUAGAUAUUCGGAAGAACACCAGUGGCGAAGGCGACUUACUGGACGAUUGUUGACGCUGAGGUGCGAAAGCGUGGGGAGCGAACAGG
rnacentral:rRNA from 1 species